UCAGCCCAUCCUCUCUCCUACUCACCAGAGGCAGCAGCCCAGCUUGCUCCUAUCUGCUUUUUAUGAGCAAUGCUGUCCUCUGAAUAGCACACAGAGAAGAGACUAAUAAUCAUACAAAUAUCAGGGAGAGCGGUCAAUCAUCACCUGAAAUGUUCAGUACACCUGAGGGAAAUUCGGGUGCUGCAGCCUGAAGAGUCUGCAAGUUUAGCAUGUAGAAGAGACAAGAUUACAGCCUUAGAGUCAAGCAAAGGAGGGUGAAAAGGAGGAGAAGCCUAUGCAAAUUGGAAUACACACAAUCUUCUGACAAUCACUUAGUCUGCAUCUUUCUGCUGUGAAAUCUGGUAACAGCUGGUUUGCUUUACAAGCAAGGUGAGGAAGACAGAGACUUGGGAAGAUACAUGAGCUUCAAAACCUCAGCAAGGCACCUUAAGAGGACAGCUCAGUGUGGGUGACCUGUGUGAUAUCAGACAAGGCAUGAAGUGAA